rnacentral:rRNA from 1 species
AGCGAACGCUGGCGGCGUGCUUAACACAUGCAAGUCGCGCGCGAAAGAGGCUUUCGGGUCUUGAGUAGAGCGGCGCACGGGUGCGUAAGACGCGGGUGACCUAUCCACGAGGUGGGGAUAACCUUUCGAAAGAGGGGCUAAUACCGGAUGAGCCCACAGGGCAGAGAUGCUAGGGGGCAAAGGGUGCGGUUUACUAAGCGCAUCUCUUCGUGGCGGGGCCCACGGCCUAUCAGCUAGUUGGUGUGGUAACGGCACACCAAGGCGAAGACGGUAGCUGGUCUGAGAGGAUGGCCAGCCACACGGGGACUGAGACACGGCCCCGACUCCUACGGGAGGCAGCAGUGGGAAUAUUGGGCAAUGGGCGCAAAGCCUGACCCAGCGACGCCGCGUGGGUGAUGAA